rnacentral:rRNA from 1 species
UGGGACCUACGGGGGGCAGCAGUAGGGAAUAUUGCUCAAUGGGGGAAACCCUGAAGCAGCAACGCCGCGUGGAGGAUGAAGGUUUUAGGAUUGUAAACUCCUUUUGUUAGAGAAGAUUAUGACGGUAUCUAACGAAUAAGCACCGGCUAACUCCGUGCCAGCAGCCGCGGUAAUACGGAGGGUGCAAGCGUUACUCGGAAUCACUGGGCGUAAAGAGUGCGUAGGCGGGGGAAUAAGUCAGAUGUGAAAUCCUGUAGCUUAACUACAGAACUGCAUUUGAACAUGUUACUCUGGAGGUGGGGAGG